rnacentral:lncRNA from 1 species
GACAAUGGUGUUUACUUCAUUGAAUAUCUGAAUUCACAUAUUCACUGACAUAAACUCACUGGAUUACAAGGGAAUUUACAAUGCCUGACAUAUAAUCUGAAUUCAUAGUAACAACUUCAAUCAAUUACAACGGGGAAUUGCAGUUCUUCCUCUUCCUCUGCACCUUCAAGCGUCAUCGCAGCUUCUCGGCUCCCUUCCUCCUGCAGAGAAAUCAGGAGUGCCCAUUUUGCCACGCUGGGAAAUGACAUGACCAAGGAGGAGAAUAAUCAAUACUUCAAAGUAGCAAGGAGGAGAAGAAUCAAUAAUUGAAACAAAAGAGAAAGGGCUUACCCAUGGUUUUUAUCCAUGCCAUUAUCAAUACUUCAAAACUUCCAGCAAGACAUUCAGAAUACUAG